rnacentral:lncRNA from 1 species
GUUUUUUCAGUGAUUAUAAUGUUUCUCAGUGCAACAUGGAAGGGGAAAUUUAAACAGUUUUUACUCCUGAGUCUAUUUUGGAGGUGUAGAUUGUUCUGGAGUCUUUCAGAAAAACAUGAUAGACUUUGUAAUUCAUUUUAUAAAGCACUCCAUGAAGAUUAUUUUUUCUUUUUUCCAGUAUUGGGGAUCAAACUCAGGACCUUGUGCUUGCAAGGCAGGUGUGGUGCCACUGAGCUAAAUCCCCGGUCAACGCCAGUUCUUAUGAUGAGUUUAUCGGUAGGAUUUCUGGUAAUGACCACGGGCACCAGGGCCUCCAAACUUUUUGGAUUCACAGCGACGGGGGUCAGCUACCAGCAGGGUCCGGUCAUACUGGAUGAGAAUAUCUUUGAUCUCCUUCUUGGAAGCCUCAUCUACAUAUUUCUGAUAAUAGACCACCAGGGCUUUGGAGAUGGACUGACGGAUAGCGUAAAUCUGGGCCACAUGACCACCACCCUUCACACGGACGCGGAUGUCAACACCAGCAAACCGCACCUUCCCCAGAAGGAGAACAGGCUCCAGUAACUUGUAUUGCAGCGUGUGUGUGGCUCAGUCAUCUCCAGGGGACGCCCGUUCACUUUGAUGAGGCCAUUGCCCCAUUUGGAGUGUGCCAUGGCUGUGGCCAUCUCCUUGCGACCGAAGACUUGCACGGACUGCAGCGGGCCCUUAGAUGGCAUGGUUGCUAAAGUAGACUAGAGCUCAACACCGCGUGGCGCCACAAUCGGAAAAGGCUAAACAAAUUUUUUUGAAGGACAUUUUAUUAAAUAUCUUAGGAGAAAAUAAAAAGAUCGUAAUCUGUUCUUCCAGGAAAUAAGGUAGUUGGACAAAUGUGUAACAGAUUUUGUAAACCCUGUUAAAUUGAGUUGCUUGCCCUAGGCUGGUGCCCUGGUCUCUUUCCUUGCCUGAGCGUGGAGAUGAUGAAAUCUGUGAUGACUGGUACUAUAGCUAGAUGCUUAUUCUCUGCUGUCCUUAACUGUUUCGCUUACAUUUAAAUAUUUCUAGCAAUCUAUAAUUCUUACCUUCUCCCUUAAGAAUUAAACUAGUGCAGUGAUCAAAUCUAGAAACUCAUUUUACCCCUUAGAGAAAUUCUGUUUCUUUGAGUUGAAGUUGUUUGUUUGUUUGUUUGUUUGUUUUUUAAAAUUCUAUAUUGUCUGCAACUUUAUAGGAGUCAAAUCCAAGUUAAGGUUUUCACAUCAGCUCGGAAGAUGAAAAUCUGUUAUACCUGCAAUAUAAAACUUCCUCUUUAUGUUAAGAGUUGUCACUAUGGUUUAGGGGACUGCAGAGUAGGGAAGAGAAUAUCGGGGUGGGUGAAGUGAUUAUUCUAAAGAAAGGAGUAGCACAACACAUUACUUUGGGAUUUGAUUAGUUUAUUUAUUUUUUGGUCUUUUGAGACAGGGUCUCACAUGUAGUUCAAGCUGGCCUUGAACUCACUAUGUAGUCCAGGCUGGCCUCGAACUCAUGGCAGUCCUCCUGCCUCAACUUCCCAAGUGCUGGGAUUACAUUCUUGCACUACCAUACUGGGCUUUCAAGAAGUCCUUUUUUCAUGCUGUUUCUUUUAGUUGAUUACUCAGAAAAAGUAUCCAAUGAUCAGAAGUCCUUUAUGAAUGUUCAGAACUACAUUUUCCCUUGAAGAUUGUUUAGCUAUUGCUGACUUCAGGGUCUUUACCUUGUGGCUGCCUGCUAAUCUCUCUGAAGUGGAGAAAGCAGAAUGAAUAGUGCUGUGUUCCGCUUGAGAGCACUCUUCAGCUCUCAGAUUUGUACUGAUCCAAAAAAAUCCAAGGAUUCUGUUAGUUUUCUUUGCUUUUGUGCAUUCCACCUGAGGCCUUCAUAUUUGCUGUCUCUUCUAUCCCAAAUGUCUUUACCCCUGUUCUUCCCUCAAAUGAGAUUGAUCCUUUAGGACUCAGGUUAUAUGUUACCCCCUCCAAGAUGCACUGUGAUCCUCUGUGAUCCCAUGACCCUGUGUAUAUCUCAAGUACUGUAGUCUGCCAUUGGCAUUGCAAUGAAGCUGUCUCAUUUCUUUCUUUCUUUAGCUUCAUUUUGGUAUAAUGAACAGAAACUGUGUAUAUUCAAGGUAUACAAUAUGUUUUUGUAUACUUUGUGAAGUGAUUGCUAUAAUCACGUUAAUUAAUGUAUUCCAUCACCUCAUAUAAAUAGCAGAUAUAUGAAAAGGUGCCCAGCAUCACUGAUCAUCAGAGAAAUACAAAUCAAAACCAAAAUAAAUAUUUCUUAUCCCUCUCCUUAUUUAGACAUGUAUACCCUUUGAAAUCAGGAGCUGUUUUAUUCAUCCUUGUACCCAGUGAUCACCACAGAUCUAGUUAUCUUAAAUGCUCAACAAAUUAAUAAAGAAUGUUGGAUAGCAGAAAAAAAUAGACUGAUAUUAGCCACUGUUAUUAGGUAAUUUAGGAGAUGUACUGUAACACCAUUUUUAUUAACACAUCCUUUCAAAUUUGUCUUGUG